UACGUAGGGGGCAAGCGUUAUCCGGAUUUAUUGGGUGUAAAGGGAGCGUAGACGGCAGCGCAAGUCUGGAGUGAAAUGCCGGGGCCCAACCCCGGAACUGCUUUGGAAACCGUGCAGCUCGAGUGCAGGAGAGGUAAGCGGAAUUCCUAGUGUAGCGGUGAAAUGCGUAGAUAUUAGGAGGAACACCAGUGGCGAAGGCGGCUUACUGGACUGUAACUGACGUUGAGGCUCGAAAGCGUGGGGAGCAAACAGG
rnacentral:rRNA from 1 species